rnacentral:piRNA from 1 species
GGGCCGGAAAAGAAAUGGCUGCCGCG